GACGAACGCUGGCGGCGUGCUCAACACAUGCAAGUCGAACGAUGAACCCGGAGCUUGCUCUGGGGGAUUAGUGGCGAACGGGUGAGUAACACGUGAGUAACCUGCCCUGGACUCUGGGAUAAGCGUUGGAAACGACGUCUAAUACCGGAUAGGGCCUUGGAUCGCAUGAUCUGGGGUGGAAAGUUUUUUCGGUCUGGGAUGGACUCGCGGCCUAUCAGCUUGUUGGUGAGGUAAUGGCUCACCAAGGCGUCGACGGGUAGCCGGCCUGAGAGGGUGACCGGCCACACUGGGACUGAGACACGGACCAGACUCCUACGGGAGGCAGCAGUGGGGAAUAUUGCACAAUGGGCGAAAGCCUGAUGCAGCAACGCCGCGUGCGGGAUGACGGCCUUCGGGUUGUAAACCGCUUUUAGUAGGGAAGAAGGGCUUCGGCUUGACGGUACCUGCAGAAAAAGGACCGGCUAACUACGUG
rnacentral:rRNA from 1 species